GCCAGGCGUGGUGGUGCAUGUCUGUAGUCCCAGCUAUUCGGGAGGCCGAGGCUGGAGGAUCGCUUGAGUCCAGGAGUUCUGGGCUGUAGUGCACUAUGCCAAUCGGGUGUCCCCACUAAGUUCGGCAUCAAUAUGGUGACCUCCCAGGAGCGGGGGACCACCAGGUUGCCUAAGGAGGGGUGAACCAGCCCAGGUCAGAAACGGAGCAGGUCAAAACUCCUGUCCUGAUCAGUAGUGGGAUUGCGCCUGUGAAUAGCCACUGCACUCCAGCCUGGGCAACAUAGCGAGACCCUGUCUCUU
ensembl:misc_RNA Metazoa_SRP Metazoan signal recognition particle RNA